UUUGAGCUCAUCCUGGAGAUGAAUGUGCAGAGCGUCCGCAGCACUGACCCCCAGCGCCUCGGGGGGCUGGACACCCGGCCCCACUAUAUCACACGCCGCUACGCCGAGUUCUCCUCCGCGCUUGUCAGCAUCAACCAGACCAUCCCCAAUGAGCGCACGCUGCAGCUGCUGGGACAGCUACAGGUGGAGGUGGAGAACUUUGUCCUCCGCGUGGCUGCGGAGUUCUCCUCCAGGAAGGAGCAGCUCGUGUUUCUGAUCAACAACUAUGACAUGAUGCUGGGUGUGCUGAUGGAGCGGGCUGCUGACGACAGCAAAGAGGUGGAGAGUUUCCAGCAGCUGCUCAAUGCUCGGACACAGGAGUUCAUUGAAGAGUUGCUGUCACCCCCCUUUGGAGGUCUGGUGGCAUUUGUGAAGGAGGCUGAAGCCUUGAUUGAGCGUGGGCAGGCUGAGCGGCUCCGAGGGGAGGAAGGUGUGUGGGUAUUGCUCUGGCACUGUGGGCAGCAGAGUUAGGGACAGCAGGAGUGCGUGGGUCACAGGGGUUGGGGGGAGGUGGGGGUGAGG
rnacentral:lncRNA from 1 species